GNNNUCAUUACGGGUACGGGGAUUAGGGUUCGAUUCCGGAGAGGGGGCCUGAGAAACGGCUACCACAUCCAAGGAAGGCAGCAGGCGCGCAAAUUACCCAAUCCCGACACGGGGAGGUAGUGACAAUAAAUAACAAUACAGGGCCCUCACAGGUCUUGUAAUUGGAAUGAGUACAAUUUAAAUCUCUUAACGAGGACAAUUGGAGGGCAAGUCUGGUGCCAGCAGCCGCGGUAAUUCCAGCUCCAAUAGCGUAUAUUAAAGUUGUUGCAGUUAAAAAGCUCGUAGUUGAAUUUUGGGUCUGGCCGGGCGGUCCACCUUCCGGUGAGCACUGUUCCGACGUCGGGCCUAUCCUUCUGGUGAGACGGCAUGCCCUUCGCUGGGUGUGUCGGGGAACCAGGACCAUUACCUUGAAAAAAUUAGAGUGUUCAAGGCAGGCGUUUGCUCGAAUACAUUAGCAUGGAAUAAUGAAAUAGGACGCGUGGUACUAUUUUGUUGGUUUCUAGGACCGCCGUAAUGAUUAAUAGGGAUAGCUGGGGGCAUUAGUAUUCAAUUGUCAGAGGUGAAAUUCUUGGAUUUAUUGAAGACUAACUUCUGCGAAAGCAUUUGCCAAGGAUGUUUUCAUUAAUCAAGAACGAAAGNUAGGGGAUCGAAGACGAUCAGAUACCGUCGUAGUCUUAACCAUAAACUAUGCCGACUAGGAAUCGGGCGAAGUUAUUUUAACGACUCGCCCGGCGCCUUAUGGGAAACCAAUUUUNNGGGKUNUCA
rnacentral:rRNA from 1 species